GAUGAACGCUGGCGGCGUGCUUAACACAUGCAAGUCGAACGGAAAGGCUCCUGCUUGCAGGGGUUCUCGAGUGGCGAACGGGUGAGUAACACGUGGGUGAUCUGCCCUGCACUUCGGGAUAAGCCUGGGAAACUGGGUCUAAUACCGUAUAGGACCACAUUUAGGGUGGUGUGGUGGAAAGUUUUUCGGUGUGGGAUGAGGUCGCGGCCUAUCAGCUUGUUGGUGGGGUACUGGCGUACCAAGGCGGCGACGGGUAGCCGGCCUGAGAGGGUGUACGGACAGAUUAGACCUCAAAUACAGGCCAGACUCCUGCGGGAGGCAGCAGGGGGGCAUGUUGCACAAUGGGAGAAAGCCUGAGGCAGGAAGGCCGCGUGGGUGAUGACGGCCUUCGGGUUGUAAACACCUCUCGCUAGGGACGAAGCGUUUUUGUGACGGUACCUGGAGAAGAAGCACCGGCUAACUACGUG
rnacentral:rRNA from 1 species